CGUGGAUAGGAAAAUCCGCCACAUCAGACCAAGGCUUUCACUCGAGUCCAAUGAUGACGAAGUCAUAUGACGCAUAACCAAGAAAAGCCUCUAAGGAUUGAAGCAUAUCUGACCGUACUAAAACUGACACAGGUAGGUGAGGCGCGUAGCCUAAGGCGCUCGAGAAAACGCUGGUUAAGGAACUCUGCAAAUUGACCCCGUAAGUUAGCGAUAAGGGGUGCCUC
rnacentral:rRNA from 1 species